AGUGGGGAAUCUUGCGCAAUGGGCGAAAGCCUGACGCAGCCAUGCCGCGUGAAUGAUGAAGGUCUUAGGAUUGUAAAAUUCUUUUACCAGGGACGAUAAUGACGGUACCUGGAGAAAAAGCCCCGGCUAACUUCGUGCCAGCAGCCGCGGUAAUACGAAGGGGGCUAGCGUUGCUCGGAAUUACUGGGCGUAAAGGGAGCGUAGGCGGGUUAUCAAGUUGGGGGUGAAAGCCCGGGGCUCAACCUCGGAAUUGCCUUCAAAACUGGUAACCUAGAGUAUGGAAGAGGUAAGUGGAACUCCGAGUGUAGAGGUGAAAUUCGUAGAUAUUCGGAAGAACACCAGUGGCGAAGGCGACUUACUGGUCCAUGACUGACGCUGAGGCUCGAAAGCGUGGGGAGCAAA
rnacentral:rRNA from 1 species